GACGAACGCUGGCGGCGUGCCUAAUACAUGCAAGUAGAACGCUGAAGGAGGAGCUUGCUUCUCUGGAUGAGUUGCGAACGGGUGAGUAACGCGUAGGUAACCUGCCUGGUAGCGGGGGAUAACUAUUGGAAACGAUAGCUAAUACCGCAUAAUAUUGACUAUUGCAUGAUAGUCAGUUGAAAGGUGCAACUGCACCACUACCAGAUGGACCUGCGUUGUAUUAGCUAGUUGGUGGGUAACGGCUCACCAAGGCGACGAUACAUAGCCGACCUGAGAGGGUGAUCGGCCACACUGGGACUGAGACACGGCCCAGACUCCUACGGGAGGCAGCAGUAGGGAAUCUUCGGCAAUGGACGGAAGUCUGACCGAGCAACGCCGCGUGAGUGAAGAAGGUUUUCGGAUCGUAAAGCUCUGUUGUAAGAGAAGAACGAGUGUGAGAGUGGAAAGCUCACACUGUGACGGUAUCUUACCAGAAAGAGACGGCUAACUACGUG
rnacentral:rRNA from 1 species